GCGAUUCCCUCAACCCUCGCCGUAUUUAUAUCGUCUUGAUUCAUUUUAAUAGGCAAACUGCCAAAAGAUAACAGUAUAAAAUCGCAGCUGGAUGAGAGAGCCCAAAGCCCCAAGCACUGUUGCUUUUCAGUGUUUCCACUUGUAGCGAAUUUUUCCAAAUAUGAACUUUAAUUUACAAACUUGAAUUUUGGCGGAGAUUUGACACCUUCAUCCGCCAAAAUUCAACUUGCGAAUACGAACUAUAAUGUUGGGAAUACGAACUAUAAUGUUGGAAAUACGAACUAUAAUGUUGGGAAUACGAACUAUAAUGUUGGGAAUAUGAACUAUAAUGUUGGGAAUACGAACUAUAAUGUUGGGAAUACGAACUAUAAUGUUGGGAAUACGAACUAUAAUGUUGGGAAUAUGAACUAUAAUGUUGGGAAUACGAACUAUAAUGUCGCGAAUACGAACUAUAAUGUUGCGAAUACGAACUAUAAUGUUGCGAAUACGAACUAUAAUGUUGCGAAUACGAACUAUAAUGUUGCGAAUACGAACUAUAAUGUUGCGAAUACGAACUAUAGUUGCGAAUACAAACUAUAAUGUUGCGAAUACGAACUAUAAUAUUGCGAAUACGAACUAUAAUGUUGCAAAUACGAUCUUUAAUUUUGGCGGAAAUAUGACGCCAUAG